rnacentral:rRNA from 1 species
UACGUAGGGUGCGAGCGUUGUCCGGAAUUAUUGGGCGUAAAGAGCUUGUAGGUGGCUCGUUGCGUCGGGAGUGAAAACCUGCGGCUUAACCGCAGGCCUGCUUCCGAUACGGGCGAGCUAGAGUUCGGCAGGGGAGACUGGAAUUCCUGGUGUAGCGGUGAAAUGCGCAGAUAUCAGGAGGAACACCGGUGGCGAAGGCGGGUCUCUGGGCCGAAACUGACGCUGAGGAGCGAAAGCGUGGGGAGCAAACAGG